CGUUUGGGCGGUUCGAAAGUUUCAGGGUAGCGUUCCACCAGAGCUUCUCCCGCCUGCCCCACGAUUCAUGAUGAUGGUCGUUGCUGGUCCCGUGUUCGCCAUGGGCAUGAUGGGUGAUGGCGCAAGCCCGCUCGUGCAGCUCGUGCCGUUCGCGCUGAUCCUCGGGAUCUUCUACUUCAUCAUUCUGCUGCCGGCGAAGCGCAAGCAACAGAAGGUGCAGGCGUUUCUCGACAACCUGAAGGUGACCGACAGAGUCAUCACCACCAGCGGCAUCCACGGCCUGAUCACGAAGAUCGACGAUCAGGUGGUGCAGCUCGAGAUCGCCGACAAUCCAAAGGUCCGCAUCAAGGUGUCGCGUGCCGCCAUCGGCGGCCUGCAGGGCCAACCGCCAGUCGUCGAGCCCGCGAAUACAUAAAGGAAGCAGUGCCAUGUCCAACCUUCGCUGGAAGGUCGUCACGAUCAUCGGCGUCUUCAUCGUCUUCUCCGCCGUCGGAAUCUACCCGCUGGUGGCGCAGCGCU
rnacentral:rRNA from 1 species